rnacentral:rRNA from 1 species
CUGCAGUCCUACCGCUCCAACAGCAGGGUGAGCUCCGGCCCUCCGAACAACCACCGUGGCUUCGGCUUCGUAAUCUUCUAC